rnacentral:rRNA from 1 species
GACGAACGCUGGCGGCGUGCUUAACACAUGCAGGUCGAGCGAUGAAGUUUCUUCGGAAAUGGAUUAGCGGCGAACGGGUGAGUAACACGUGAGGAAUCUGCCCUUCACUUUGGAAUAACUCCGGGAAACCGGAGCUAAUACCGGAUACGAACUCUGGCGGCAUCGCCGGGGUUGGAAAGUUUUUCGGUGAAGGAUGACCUCGCGGCCUAUCAGCUUGUUGGUGAGGUAAUGGCUCACCAAGGCGACGACGGGUAGCCGGCCUGAGAGGGCGACCGGCCACACUGGGACUGAGACACGGCCCAGACUCCUACGGGAGGCAGCAGUGGGGAAUAUUGGGCAAUGGGCGAAAGCCUGACCCAGCGACGCCGCGUGCGGGAUGAAGGCCUUCGGGUUGUAAACCGCCUUCAGCAGGGAAGAAGCGAAAGUGACGGUACCUGAAGAAGAAGCACCGGCUAACUAUGUGCCAGCCGCCGCCGUAA